CCUACGGGAGGCAGCAGUGGGGAAUAUUGCACAAUGGGGGAAACCCUGAUGCAGCGACGCCGCGUGAGUGAAGAAGUAUUUCGGUACGUAAAGCUCUAUCAGCAGGGAAGAAAAUGACGGUACCUGACUAAGAAGCCCCGGCUAACUACGUGCCAGCAGCCGCGGUAAUACGUAGGGGGCAAGCGUUAUCCGGAUUUACUGGGUGUAAAGGGAGCGUAGACGGCAGCGCAAGUCUGGAGUGAAAUCCCAUGGCUUAACCAUGGAACUGCUUUGGAAACUGUGCAGCUAGAGUGCAGGAGAGGUAAGCGGAAUUCCUAGUGUAGCGGUGAAAUGCGUAGAUAUUAGGAGGAACACCAGUGGCGAAGGCGGCUUACUGGACUGUAACUGACGUUGAGGCUCGAAAGCGUGGGGAGCAAACAGGAUUAGAUACCCCUGUAGUA
rnacentral:rRNA from 1 species